rnacentral:rRNA from 1 species
CGCGUAGGCGGCUUAGCAAGUCAGAUGUGAAAGCCCGGGCUUAACUCGGGAAUUGCAUCUGAAACUGCUUUGCUUGAGUCCUGGAGGGGAUAGUGGAAUUCCCAGUGUAGCGGUGAAAUGCGUAGAUAUUGGGUGGAACACCUGCGGCGAAGGCGGCUAUCUGGACAGUGACUGACGCUGAGGCGCGAAAGCUAGGGGAGCGAACG